UACGGGGGGAGCAAGCGUUGUUCGGAUUUACUGGGCGUAAAGGGCGCGUAGGCGGCCACCGCAAGUCGGUUGUGAAAUCUCUGGGCUUAACCCAGAAAGGUCAAUCGAUACUGCGGGGCUAGAGUGCAGAAGGGGCAACUGGAAUUCUCGGUGUAGCGGUGAAAUGCGUAGAUAUCGAAAGGAACACCUGCGGCGAAGGCGGGUUGCUGGGCUGACACUGACGCUGACAGCGCGAAAGCUAGGGGAGCGAACGGG
rnacentral:rRNA from 1 species